rfam:Parcubacteria (Jorgensenbacteria) bacterium GW2011_GWA1_48_11 TY23_C0006, whole genome shotgun sequence.
GCGUGGGUGGCAGAGCGGUCAAUUGCACUAGACUGUAAAUCUAGCGCCUUCGGGCUACGGAGGUUCGAAUCCUCCCCCACGCA